AUGGAAGGCCUGGGUAUUGAUUGGUCUGCUCUCAGAUAUGUCAUGUACAUGAAAGCUAUUUGCGGAGGGUUUGCAGCAGCUUUGCGGGACAUGAAGGUGUGGGUCAUGAAUGUAGUUCCAAUCUACUCACCUCACACGCUAGCAAUCAUAUACGAGGGCAAGCUGUUUGGACUCUACCAUGACUGGUGCUAG
rnacentral:rRNA from 1 species